UGCAGGGCUGAGGGAGAACCGCCGGCACCCCGCGGCCUAUUUGGUGCUGGGAGCCCGAGCCCUGACCGGGGCCUUCCGAGCCUGGACCCGCCGAGAGGUCCUGGCAGAGCACGAGCAGGAGAUCCCGAGACCGUCCGGCCGGGGCAGCUGAUCAAGGAACUGGGCAGGGAGAUCCGGCUGGCAGAGGAGCUGUUCCAGCAGAGCACGGGGAUGUCGGGGACCCCCUUUGGGCCCCCCUGGGGGUCCCAGGCCCCAAAAAGGGGGGCCCCGAAAGCCGCCCCCCAACUCCCGCACCCACGACGAUGGGGGGACCCUGAACCCCCCUGCAGCACCCCAGGAGGAGGAU